rnacentral:rRNA from 1 species
UACGUAGGUGGCAAGCGUUGUCCGGAUUUACUGGGCGUAAAGAGCGCGCAGGCGGUCGUUCAAGUCGAGUGUGAAAGCCCCCGGCUCAACUGGGGAGGGUCACUCGAUACUGAUCGACUCGAAGGCAGAAGAGGGAAGCGGAAUUCCCGGUGUAGUGGUGAAAUGCGUAGAUAUCGGGAGGAAGACCGGUGGCGAAGGCGGCCUGCUGGGCAGUUACUGACACUGAGGCGCGACAGCGUGGGGAGCAAACAGG